AACGAACGCUGGCGGCAUGCCUAACACAUGCAAGUCGAACGAGACCUUCGGGUCUAGUGGCGCACGGGUGCGUAACGCGUGGGAACCUGCCCUUAGGUUCGGAAUAACUCCCCGAAAGGGGUGCUAAUACCGGAUAAUGUCUUCGGACCAAAGAUUUAUCGCCUUUGGAUGGGCCCGCGUUGGAUUAGCUAGUUGGUAGGGUAAAAGCCUACCAAGGCGACGAUCCAUAGCUGGUCUGAGAGGAUGAUCAGCCACACUGGGACUGAGACACGGCCCAGACUCCUACGGGAGGCAGCAGUGGGGAAUAUUGGACAAUGGGCGGAAGCCUGAUCCAGCAAUGCCGCGUGAGUGAUGAAGGCCGUAGGGCUGUAAAGCUCUUUUACCCGGGAUGAUAAUGACAGUACCGGGAGAAUAAGCUCCGGCUAACUCCGUG
rnacentral:rRNA from 1 species